CGGGCGCGCUCUCGCAGGGAGCUGGGCUGCUGCCGCCGCCGCUCCAAGCCGCGUCCGCCCUUGACCCCGACCCGGCGCAGGCCGCGCAUGGGGACCCCGCAGUCCAAGCGCGCCGCGAGCCUGCGGAGAGAGAGCCCAGAAGGUGAGGCCGGGGGCGGCUCGAGCUCGCGGCGUCCCGCACACCCGGCCCGCGUUUUCCGCCUGGCGACGGCGUCGCAGGGGCGCAGAGGAGGCGGAGCGGAGGGGCGCGGAGCACCGCGCGCGGGGCCGGCAGGAGCUGCCCAGUGAGGACCUCAAAGAGGGGUCCUUUCCAGGAGGGACCAGAGUCCCCCUGACGGCCCUCCAGUGCAACGUCUCGGUGGAGGACAGCCACCAGGAGCGGACGUUCACACUGU
ensembl:lncRNA